rnacentral:RNase_P_RNA from 1 species
AUGUUCGGGUAAUCGCUGUAUUCCUGAGAGAAUAUAGAGGAAAGUCCAUGCUCGCACGGUCUGAGACGACCGUAGUGUUCGUGCCUGGCGAAGUCAUAAGCCAGGGUAGUUCGGAGUUUUCUGGGCUAACGGCAGGAAAAAGGCCUGUGUUCCGGCAGGAAUAUGGCCCAGUAUCCUUGAAAGUGCCAUAGUGACGAUGUCUUCCGGAAACGGGAGAAGUGGAACGCGGUAAACCCCUCGAGCGGGAAACUCAAAUUUGGUAGAGGAACCCUUUGGAAGGAAUCAAACGGAAAAAGGGACAGGCUAUCCUGUAGAUAGAUGAUUACCCCUUCUGUACGAGGGACGUGUUGUCCCGUCUGAGUGCGGAAGGACAGAACAUGGCUUACAGAA